rfam:Methyloversatilis sp. RAC08, complete genome.
AAUCCCCUGCGGUGUUCGCCAAGGUCAUAGAUUCCUUGAACCAAUGUUGAUUGGCAUGAGGUUGCGAACCUAGGACGCCGCUGUUGUGCCGGCCCUUCACGGGCUGGCCUGAUGCGGCAGGAACGCAGCCGCUCUGAACCCUCGGUUCAGGAUGCCGGCCUAGCGACAUGCGCGGGGGUCCC